GGGCCAUAGCUCAGUGGCAGAGCAUCUGCCUUGCAUGCAGAAGGUCCUAAAUUCAAUCCCUGACAUAUCCA
rnacentral:tRNA from 1 species